rnacentral:tRNA from 1 species
GUUGGAUUAAAGUUAAGUUCUGGUGUAGAAGCUAGAAAUAUUUAGUCUGUUCGACU